rnacentral:misc_RNA from 1 species
GACAAAAAUGGACGUCCAAGUGGCGCUGCUGAGGUGGUCUUUGCCAGAAGAAGUGAUGCAUUCCAAGCUCUUAAGAGAUAUAACAAUGUGCAGUUGGAUGGGAAGCCUAUGAAGAUUGAAAUAGUUGGUUCCAACCCAGAAAUUCCUUUGUCAGCUCGUGUAAAUGUAGUUGGAGGAACCAACCGGAGGAGGACUGUGGUUAUGGCGCCAGGUGGUCCAGCUCGUGGAAGAGGAGCUGCUACUAGUCGUGGUUCUAGUCAAAGGGGCCGUGGUGGUUUGAGGAAUGCACCUGGACGUGGUCGAGGUGGUGGUGGCGGUCGUGGUUGGGGUAGAGGUCGUGGCCGCGGUGGUAGGGGAAGUAGCAGCAGGGGCGCUGAUAAGUCAGCUGAGGAUCUUGACAAGGAACUGGACAGCUACCACGCCAACGCUGACGCCAUGCAAACUUAGAUAUGGCGCUUCCAUAACUUGUGAGUUAACUAGAAGAACCAAUCAUGUCUACUAUGUCUCUGUAUCACGUCACCAAAACUCAUGCUUUCCAGUUGUAGUUUCUUGCCGUUUAUAUGAUUGUACGAUAAAUCGAUCAUUUGAUGAAUGCUUUUUAAUCCCCUAAUGAACGUAUCGUAAAUAGAGUGGUUUAUUUGUCUUCCCCAUCUUCCUAUGCAACUGUAGUUCUGCUUAAA